rnacentral:lncRNA from 1 species
GUUUCUAAAAAAAACAUUUAUUUUUAUUUUAUAAAAGUUAUUAGCCCGCGAUAAUCCCGUAGUAUAUUUUUAAUUGUGUCCAUAAGUAAAUAGAGGCAUAGAGAAAAAUCGUUCAUGCUAAAAAAUGGCCCAUCCCAGGAUAUAAGGAUUUAAUAUAAUAGAUAUAAGGGCUCUCUACAGCCUUCCUUGCACCACUCUUUUGGCGACGCCGACGUCCUGAUCACCACACAAACUCGACGCAGAGUCUUCGUAGUCUUUGUCCGUUUCCAAUAAUCCGGAUCAACGAACGAUACCAGUGGUAGCGGAAAAGAUUAGUAGACUAGGGACAGCUG